AGGUGGAAUGCGCAGAUAUCAGGAGGAACACCGAUGGCGAAGGCAGGUCUCUGGGCUGUAACUGACGCUGAGGAGCGAAAGCAUGGGGAGCGAACAGGAUUAGAUACCCUGGUAGUCCAUGCCGUAACGUUGGGCACUAGGUGUGGGGACCAUUCCACGGUUUCCGCGCCGCAGCUAACGCAUUAAGUGCCCCGCCUGGGGAGUACGGCCGCAAGGCUAAAACUCAAAGGAAUUGACGGGGGCCCGCACAAGCGGCGGAGCAUGCGGAUUAAUUCGAUGCAACGCGAAGAACCUUACCAAGGCUUGACAUGUUCUCGAUCGCCGUAGAGAUACGGUUUCCCCUUUGGGGCGGGUUCACAGGUGGUGCAUGGUUGUCGUCAGCUCGUGUCGUGAGAUGUUGGGUUAAGUCCCGCAACGAGCGCAACCCUCGUUCCAUGUUGCCAGCACGUCGUGGUGGGGACUCAUGGGAGACUGCCGGGGUCAACUCGGAGGAAGGUGAGGACGACGUCAAAUCAUCAUGCCCCUUAUGUCUUGGGCUUCACGCAUGCUACAAUGGCCGGUACAAUGGGUUGCGAUACUGUGAGGUGGAGCUAAUCCCAAAAAGCCGGUCUCAGUUCGGAUUGGGGUCUGCAACUCGACCCCAUGAAGUCGGAGUCGCUAGUAAUCGCAGAUCAGCAACGCUGCGGUGAAUACGUUCCCGGGCCUUGUACACACCGCCCGUCAAGUCACGAAAGUCGGUAACACCCGAAGCCGGUGGCCUAACCCUUGUGGGGGGAGCCGUCGAAGGUGGGACCAGCGAUUGGGACUAAGUCGUAACAAGGUAGCCGUACCGGAAGGUGCGGCUG
rnacentral:rRNA from 1 species